rnacentral:rRNA from 1 species
UACGUAGGGUGCAAGCGUUGUCCGGAAUUACUGGGCGUAAAGGGCUCGUAGGCGGCCAACUAAGUCCGACGUGAAAUCCCCAGGCUCAACCUGGGAACUGCGUCGGAUACUGGAUGGCUUGAAUUCGGGAGAGGGAUGCAGAAUUCCAGGUGUAGCGGUGAAAUGCGUAGAUAUCGGGAGGAACACCAGUGGCGAAGGCAGCUCGCUGGGACGUUACUGACGCUGAGACACGAAAGCGUGGGGAGCAAACAGG